rnacentral:rRNA from 1 species
AUAUUGUACAAUGGGGGCAACCCUGAUCCAGCCAUGCCGCGUGUGUGACGAAGGUNUUNNGAUUGNANAGAACUUUAAGUUGGNNNNNAGGGCUUUUGGAUAAUACCCUGAAUUCUUGACGUUACCAACUUAAUUAGCACCGACUAACUCUGUGCCAGCAGCCGCGGUAAUACAGAGGGUUCAAGCGUUAAUCGGAAUUACUGGGCGUAAAGCGCGCGUAGGUGGGUCAGUAAGAUGGGUGUGAAAUCCCCGGGCUUAACCUGGGAACUGCUUUCAUAACUGCUGGGCUAGAGUACGGUAGAGGGUAGUGGAAUUUCCUGUGUAGCGGUGAAAUGCGUAGAUAUAGGAAGGAACACCAGUGGCGAAGGCGACUACCUGGACUGAUACUGACACUGAGGUGCGAAAGCGUGGGGAGCAAACAGG